UACGUAGGGUGCAGGCGUUAAUCGGAAUUACUGGGCGUAAAGCGUGCGCAGGCGGUUUCUUAAGUCAGAUGUGAAAGCCCCGGGCUUAACCUGGGAACUGCGUUUGAAACUGGGAGACUUGAGUGUGGCAGAGGGGGGUGGAAUUCCGACGGUGUAGCGUGAAAUGCGUAGAGAUGUGGAGGAACACCGAUGGCGAAGGCAGCCCCCUGGGUCAAGAUUGACGCUCAUGCACGAAAGCGUGGGGAGCAAACAGG
rnacentral:rRNA from 1 species